CUUAGUGAGAACCAAGAUGUAUUUGCCUACGCUGUUUAGAUAAAUAUGUUUUAGUAUGAUUGCUGAGCACCAACAGUUGCCUGCGGAUCCAUGACUUUCGGAACCUCACACGUGGGUUGGUACAUUCUACACGUGCCGACGUCAUAGAUGUUAACACCAGAAGUAAUAGAAUGUUGCUGACGUUCAAAUAUAUGAGUGGAACUGUUACUUCACUUCACAUCUGGAAACGUGUCUCAAUUGGUAGGAACUACCUUGUUAUAUACAAUUGUUCUCUCAACUGAAAUCUGCCGUCCACAAGGAUUCCGAAGAAGCGGCUACUUUAAGAAUCGGGAUGUUUCGGAUGCCUUAGCGAUGAUCUGCGACUACCACGUGUCAGAUAACAAUGCUUCUGCACCCAUCUUGAAUUCCCAAGUUCAUAGGUGGAAUUGCAAAAUAAGAAAUCCGAAAGUUAAAUCUAACGUUUUCUUUUGAAACCAAGUUAGCGCUUAAGCCCUGCUAUGGCGGCCUAUAACUGGUACCGAUUAUGUGGUAUGAUACUUUGGUACACUUUAAAGGUAGAAAGCAAUGCUAUAAUAUUGUACAAGAAAGAUAAUUGCAGUUCCAGUUAAAGCAUUCACCUUUUGUAUCUACAUGUUUCUUCUUCUUUAAAUGAACAUUUAUCUAUAUUUUUUUCCAAUUCAAUAUGCUUUAUUUUCCUCGUCAAUAGAUGUGUGAAGGUCUUGACUAAUACAAUCAGUAUCACCCUUUGCAUGCUGAGAAAUUUGUCGUCUGCUAAAAUGUAGUCUGCUGAAUUUCUAAAAUAAGCAUUUUUUUAUUUUUUUUUCAAAGAAUACUU